rnacentral:rRNA from 1 species
GACAGAGGCCUCGAGCGUUAGGCGGAAUCACUGGGCUUAAAGCGUGUGUAGGCGGAUCGUUAAGUACCUUGUGAAAUCCCACGGCUCAACCGUGGAACGGCUGGGUAUACUGGCGGUCUUGGGCCAUUCAGGGGCGACUGGAACAAGCGGUGGAGCGGUGAAAUGCGUAGAUAUCGCUUGGAACGCCGAAGGUGAAAACAGGUUGCUGGGGUUGUGCCGACGCUGAGACACGAAAGCCAGGGGAGCAAACGGG